rfam:[Clostridium] sordellii strain JGS6382 genome assembly, chromosome: 1
CAUAAAGUUUUCUAGGGUUCCGUAGUUUAUAACUAGCUGGUCCGAGAGAAAACACAUAGUUUAAACUAUGGACACGGAAGGAUAAAAGCCUGGGAGAU